CCUACGGGUGGCAGCAGUGGGGAAUAUUGGACAAUGGGCGAAAGCCUGAUCCAGCCAUGCCGCGUGUGUGAAGAAGGCCUUCGGGUUGUAAAGCACUUUCAGUGGGGAAGAAAGCCUUGGGGCUAAUACCCUCGAGGAAGGACAUCACCCACAGAAGAAGCACCGGCUAACUCCGUGCCAGCAGCCGCGGUAAUACGGAGGGUGCGAGCGUUAAUCGGAAUUACUGGGCGUAAAGCGCGCGUAGGCGGUCUGAUAAGCCGGUUGUGAAAGCCCCGGGCUCAACCUGGGAACGGCAUCCGGAACUGUCAGGCUAGAGUGCAGGAGAGGAAGGUAGAAUUCCCGGUGUAGCGGUGAAAGGCGUAGAGAUCGGGAGGAAUACCAGUGGCGAAGGCGGCCUUCUGGACUGACACUGACGCUGAGGUGCGAAAGCGUGGGUAGCAAACAGGAUUAGAUACCCGAGUAGUC
rnacentral:rRNA from 1 species